UGGGGAAUAUUGGACAAUGGGCGAAAGCCUGAUCCAGCCAUGCCGCGUGUGUGAAGAAGGUCUUCGGAUUGUAAAGCACUUUAAGUUGGGAGGAAGGGCAUUAACCUAAUACGUUAGUGUUUUGACGUUACCGACAGAAUAAGCACCGGCUAACUCUGUGCCAGCAGCCGCGGUAAUACAGAGGGUGCAAGCGUUAAUCGGAAUUACUGGGCGUAAAGCGCGCGUAGGUGGUUUGUUAAGUUGGAUGUGAAAUCCCCGGGCUCAACCUGGGAACUGCAUUCAAAACUGACUGACUAGAGUAUGGUAGAGGGUGGUGGAAUUUCCUGUGUAGCGGUUAAAUGCGUAGAUAUAGGAAGGAACACCAGUUGCGAAGGCGACCACCUGGACUAAUACUGACACUGAGGUGCGAAAGCGUGGGGAGCAAACA
rnacentral:rRNA from 1 species